CAGUAGCCGCGGUAAUACGAAGGGGGCUAGCGUUGUUCGGAAUUACUGGGCGUAAAGGGCGCGUAGGCGGCCAUUCAAGUUAGAUGUGAAAGCCCUGGGCUCAACCUAGGAAUUGCAUUUGAUACUGAUUGGCUAGAGUUCGGGAGAGGUGAGUGGAAUUCCCAGUGUAGAGGUGAAAUUCGUAGAUAUUGGGAAAAACACCAGUGGCGAAGGCGGCUCACUGGACCGACACUGACGCUGAGGCGCGAAAGCGUGGGGAGCAAACAGGAUUAGAUACCCCCGUAGUCCCUGUCUCUUAUAC
rnacentral:rRNA from 1 species